rnacentral:tRNA from 6 species
GGGCCUGUAGCUCAAUGGUUAGAGCCGGCCGCUCAUAACGGUCUGGUUGCAGGUUCGAGUCCUGCCAGGCCCA